UCCGAUUUAUCAUCGGCAGUCUCGUUAGAGUGCUCAACUAAAUGGUAGCAACUAACAAUAGGGGUUGCGCUCGUUGCGGGACUUAACCCAACAUCUCACGACACGAGCUGACGACGGCCAUGCAACACCUGUGUACACCCGGCCGAACCGAAACGAUCUGUUUCCAGAAAGUAAAAUGUACAUGUCAAAGGCUGGUAAGGUUCCUCGCGUAUCAUCGAAUUAAACAACAUGCUCCACCGCUUGUGCGGGUCCCCGUCAAUUCCUUUGAGUUUUAAUCUUGCGAUCGUAAUCCCCAGGCGGUGUACUUAUCGCGUUAGCUUAGCCACCGAAUAGUAAACUAUCCGAUAGCGAGUACACAUCGUUUAGGGCGUGGACUAC
rnacentral:misc_RNA from 1 species